UUGUCCAAUAGACGAUUGUUUUGGAAGAUGAACAUAGGCGCCAUUUCCCUCCCAGCUCUCUGAGCCGCUUAUUGGUGGCCAGCUGAAAGGAACCGAGGCGGCCAAGAAACUGCCGCACUGAGGCCGCCAUGUUGGCUGUUGUCUAAAUUCUGCUUCGUACGACUGGCGAUUUUUGGUAGAUCCCUAAUGGUGUCAGUUUCACAACUAACUGAACCCGUAGAAACCUUGAUUGGUGGAAUCUAGUCGGAGGUUUGAUUGGUCUGAAGGACAGAUCCAAACGUAGUCUUUAUUGGUUAGAGAGCUUUACCCCAGUUUUGCAAACUUUCCAUUGAUCAGCAGUACCUGUUGUUCAGUGGCGAAUUAACUCUAACACAUGGGCCAAUGUGUAGCGUGUAUCAUCGUCUUCCAUUGACUGGGUUGGGUUUACCAUCGAGCACAUAAGUAAACUAGCUUAAACAACUACCCGAGACCGGGCUCUCUAACCCUGUUUCUGGAGAGUUACGUUCCUGUAGGUUUUCGUUGCAACCCUAAAGCACCUGAUUCUAAUAAUUUAUUUGGUUGAGCAAUUGAAUCAGUUCUGAUAGCAAGGUUGCUGGUUACACCAACCAGUUACCCGCUGAUCCAUUGCUGAUUGACUUAACUGAACCUGUUUUUCUCGGUUGCGUCUCCCUUCAUUCCUGACAGAAAGAGGACCACCUGGUUUCUACUGGGCGGGCUACCAGGGAUCAUGAGUUACCAGAUUUCACGGAUAUCAAACACUACCUCCAAUACCUGAAACUUGAUGAGCCAAUCAUCGGUUUGAGUCUUUUGGCGGAGGUGGAGCCAGUCUCCCAUGACCGUCAGCCUGGCCCAAGAUACAUCUGCAGAUUAUGCGAUCUGGAGGCAUCCUUACCCAACAUGGUCAAUCAUUUAAUUGGUCGCAGACAUCGACAGAAUUACCUGGAUAUGAAAAGGAAAGACUUGGUGACAUGGGACAGUACCAAUGCCCUGGCUCAAUCAGGGAAGGCUUUACGAGCCAUGGCGGAGAUUGUGGAAAGACAGAAUGGGCAAGGAAGUCCAAAGCCUUUGAGGAAAAAAACGAAAUGCGGGCAAAUUGAACAUUUCUAGAG